rnacentral:rRNA from 1 species
AUGAACUCUGGCAAUAUUGCCAAACUUUGGAAGGACCCCUUAAACAAUGAACCUCCACUACAACAAAAGUAUCCUGUGCUUUAUAGCAUUUGCAAUGAUCAAGACAUCACGGUGGCAAAGUUUAAAAAUGGUGUGGGGGCAAAUUUCUUUCGCCGGCAAUUACAUUCCCCUCUGGUUACCCAAUGGGAUGAGCUGAGAGCUACUGUUGCCUCUUGGCACCUGGCAGAUAGCUCGGACCAAGUUGUGUGGACCCUAGGGGGAAAGAAGAGAUUCACAACCAAAUCCAUGUAUGAGUACUUGGAAAGAAAUCUAGCUGGGUGCAGUUACAAGUGGAUUUGGAAGGCUAAAAUUCCACUUAAGAUCCAAAAUUUCCUUUGGCAGCUGUUCCAAGAUGCUAUCCUAACUAGGGAUGUCAUGAAGAGGAGACGCUGGGCUGGUAACCCGAAAUGCUCCUUUUGUAAAGAUAGAGAGACUUCUCAGCAUUUGUUCUUUACGUGUCCUGUAGCUAGAGUGGUUUGGAGGACAGUGGGCUGUGUUUUGGGCACUGAUAAAUGCCCAAACAAUAUGUGGCAAUUCUUCUCCUAG